rnacentral:rRNA from 1 species
GGAGCAGUAGGGAAUCUUCCGCAAUGGACGAAAGUCUGACGGAGCAACGCCGCGUGAGUGAUGAAGGCUUUCGGGUCGUAAAACUCUGUUGUUAGGGAAGAACAAGUGCUAGUUGAAUAAGCUGGCACCUUGACGGUACCUAACCAGAAAGCCACGGCUAACUACGUGCCAGCAGCCGCGGUAAUACGUAGGUGGCAAGCGUUAUCCGGAAUUAUUGGGCGUAAAGCGCGCGCAGGUGGUUUCUUAAGUCUGAUGUGAAAGCCCACGGCUCAACCGUGGAGGGUCAUUGGAAACUGGGAGACUUGAGUGCAGAAGAGGAAAGUGGAAUUCCAUGUGUAGCGGUGAAAUGCGUAGAGAUAUGGAGGAACACCAGUGGCGAAGGCGACUUUCUGGUCUGUAACUGACACUGAGGCGCGAAAGCGUGGGGAGCAAACAGGAUUAGAUACCCUGGUAGUCCACGCCGUAAACGAUGAGUGCUAAGUGUUAGAGGGUUUCCGCCCUUUAGUGCUGAAGUUAACGCAUUAAGCACUCCGCCUGGAGAGCGG